rnacentral:sRNA from 1 species
GAAGAAUCGAGGGCGAAGAUUGUUGGGAAAGUGAAGAAGAAAGAGGAAAGUUCAGUGGUUCAGGGUUAGAUUCAAGCGAGGAAGAUGUUUGAGAGGGAGAAGGUGAAAUCGGUGUGUGAGAGUAACAAGAAGACGGUGAAGUAGGGUAGGAUGGUGGCGAGUAGGUAUAAUGGCGGUGGUGAUGUGAGGAAGAGGUUGUUGCCAGAAGGAGGGAAUGAGAUUAGGGUUAAGAAGAGGCACUUGGUGUUCCGGUGAACAGGCUUGUCCAAGCUGCUGAUUCAGUUUGCGUGUGCUUUCUAUUCUUCUUCCCGUUUGCCUACAAUUCAUUAUAUUUCUUGGCCUUUAUCUAACUUAUUGAUGAAAGUUCUAGAGGACUGAUUUUAUGGUCUCUUUCAUAUGAAAUUUAUUGCGUCUAUAAUACCUCAUUGAAUAAUAGUAAAGCAAACCUUUGUGCAGGAGCACUUGUUGCCUUGCAGGAAAAUAUUGGAAAGCUAGAAAUUGAUCAUAAUAAAGCUAGAUUUUUAGCUGGUAAAUGUCACAGUUUUAGAUGACUCCAUGUGGAGUUCUGGUCUGUUUCAUGAAUUCUAAUUUUCUUAAACUUACUAUUGUACUAUAAAUUUUCUUAAGCCUCUAGAGAAUGAUCUGAAGGUUUCCUAUGAUCAGUUUAUUCAAAAGUGUGUUCUGUCCUGUUUUUUGUUGCAAUCAGAGGGUCUUUUAACUUUGAGGGGGUUCAAUUAUUUGAAUUAUGGGACCCUCUUGUUAUUUCAAAUCCUUUUUAAUUAUUAAAUUUUUUAGAUACUGAUUAACAUAGUCUCCCAUGAACCAAGGUUCCAGAGUUAUUCAUUGUAUUGAAGAUGUAUGAUGUCAGUCUAAAUCUGGGAGGGUACACAACCCUCAAACCUUGAGCCAACUCUGAAAAGAUCGAAUAAGAAUAACAAAACUAACAUGAGAUCUAGUUCUCAACUGAGAGGGCACAAUUACAAACCAGUAAUUUUUCAUUUGUUCUCUGCAACUAGAUUGAUUUAAUUGUUAAUUUUUCUGUGUUUUAUUUGUCUUGCUUUUGGGGUAGUAGGAAAAGGAAAUUUUCAGACUUUGUGAACAGAAGCCAAAAGUUAGAAAGGAUGUAGCACAUUGAUAACUCUUUUAGG